GAUAAUGUAUGCUAAAGCAUGCUGUGAACACUUCGUGCUGGGUACAGGAAGUACGCGAUUAAUGAUCCUUGCCGCUUCGAGAGAACUUGCUCUUAAAGUGUUACCCUUUGCAUUUUCACACCACCUGGGAGGAAGGACAGGCUGGUGGGACUGUUGCCACCUGAGGCUCUGAGAGGGGAAGAGCCUUGAUCAAGGCCCUGUGGUGUGAUAGCAGCCAAGGCAGGAUUGAACCCCAGCCCAGAGGUCUUUCGGAUGGAGGCCCCAGAGUGAAUAUAAUGACACUCUGUGGAUGAAAAUCCUGGUUGAAACCUCUGUGGGAAACGAGCCAUGAACCAUCCAAUAUUCAAUAUAUCAAACCUGACUUAUUCAUUAUUCAGCGAUGAAGAUCUUGUCUGUCACAUUUGUGGAUAAGGAUC